GUAGGAAAAAAAGUUCCACGGCCAGUUAAAUCCCGUUAUUUUGUCCUUCAGAGCACAUUCAAUUAGGACACACAGAAGGAGGAGCCCUGAAAAUCAAUGUGGAUGGCUCAUUCGAAGAAGGAUCGGUUGACGGAGCCAUUGUGUGCAUCUGUUGGGACCACUCUGGAAGACUCAUUGCGGCCUUGCUAAAUCGAUGAAAGUCUCGUCUCAGGCGUAAGCGGAAGCCCUUGCUGUGUUCGAAGCCCUCCACCUCGUUUCCAGAAGCUUUUCUCAGUUCAAUUCUAUCUGCAUUAUGUCGGAUCGGUUUGAUUUGGUUAAUGCCCUGACAAGCCAAAAUCCAGAUCACUUUAACUGGGAAAGGAGACUUCUCAUCGUGGACUACCUAAAGAUUAUAUCAGCCCAUCUUCGGGCUCUCCUGGCCCA